UGGGGAAUUUUGGACAAUGGGCGAAAGCCUGAUCCAGCAAUGCCGCGUGUGUGAAGAAGGCCUUCGGGUUGUAAAGCACUUUUGUCCGGAAAGAAAUCCUUGGCUCUAAUACAGUCGGGGGAUGACGGUACCGGAAGAAUAAGCACCGGCUAACUACGUGCCAGCAGCCGCGGUAAUACGUAGGGUGCAAGCGUUAAUCGGAAUUACUGGGCGUAAAGCGUGCGCAGGCGGUUUGCUAAGACCGAUGUGAAAUCCCCGGGCUCAACCUGGGAACUGCAUUGGUGACUGGCAGGCUAGAGUAUGGCAGAGGGGGGUAGAAUUUCACGUGUAGCAGUGAAAUGCGUAGAGAUGUGGAGGAAUACCGAUGGCGAAGGCAGCCCCCUGGGCCAAUACUGACGCUCAUGCACGAAAGCGUGGGGAGCAAACAGGAUUAGAUACCCUGGUAGUCCACGCCCUAAACGAUGUCAACUAGUUGUUGGGGAUUCAUUUCCUUAGUAACGUAGCUAACGCGUGAAGUUGACCGCCUGGGGAGUACGGUCGCAAGAUUAAAACUUAAAGGAAUUGACGGGGUCAUAGCUGUUUCCU
rnacentral:rRNA from 1 species